rnacentral:tRNA from 2 species
UGGGGAUUCGCCAAGUGGUAAGGCAGUAGCUUUUGGUGCUACCAUUCAUAGGUUCGAAUCCUAUAUCCCCAUCCA